AAAAUUCCCGUGUGAAAGUGGCAUCAGUCUUGGUCUACACUGCUUCCUUCCCUCCACUUAGUCAUGACCCAGCUUGGGUCUCUGCAGUAGGGAGAAAGAACCCCAAAGAUGUCCACAGUCUAAUCCCUAGAAACUGUGAAUAUGUUACAUUACAUGGCAAAAGGGACUUUGCAGAUUUAAGAUUACAGACCUUAUAAUGGAGAGAUUACUCUGGAUUAUUCAGGUGGGGCUGAUUUAAUCACAAAAGCCUUUAAAAGCAAUCCACUUUCUCUAGCUGGAGCAAAAGAAUGUGACUAAAGAAGAAAGAGGGAUUUGAAGCAAGAGAAGAAUGCUACUGUUGUUGGCUUUAAAGAUGAAAAGAACCACAAUAAGGGCUCUAGGAACUGAGAACCAAUGUCUGGCUGACAGCCACCAGUAAUACAGGGACCUCAGUCCUACAACCAAAAAUAACUGAAUUCUGCCAAAAACCUGAAUGAGUCUGGAAGCACAUUCUUUCUGAGAGCCUCCACAGAAUUUCUGAAGUUGGCCAACACUUUGGCUUUGGCCUUGAGACCCAGGGAGAGAGGAACCAGGAAUAGCUCUGGAUGUAUGGGAGUCAGGAGCCACAUAUGUACUAAAUAACACUGCCCCUUAGCUACGACUGAGUGAUUCAGGAAUGGGUACUUGGCCUCUGCCAAGCCAGUUUGAAUCCUUUCCUAGUAUCCUUCUAACUGGAGACUAAAAAAUAAGCUUCGUAGUCUGAGGGAAAAAGACAUUACUAAACGGGACAUUAAGCAACUGGAGGGUGCCCUACUUGCUGCCAUGUGCAAGAAGUCAUCCACUUUGAGAAGAAACGAAGUCUACCCAUGAGAAACAGAGGCAAGAGACUGUGGGAGUCCAAGAAGUGCUUUGUUCCAAUUCCUCUCAAAUUUCAGCUGCACAUUUGCCUUGGUCAUUUGAUUGUUCAGUCCUUUAGUAAUAACACCACGCAACCCUUCCACUGUGUUUGUCCUCCUAACUUCGCAUUUCCUGAUGAUGUCUUAUUAGCAGCUUGAAAUUCUGGUGGGAUUGGCACACGGCAUAAAUCAAAAAUGGAUAUGCCAUGACCAUGUUGGAAUGACAGUCAAUCAUUGACCGCAACCAUUGGCUAUCUCUUGAGUAUAAAAGUUCAUCCAAACCAAGGAAAGCAUUCUGUGAGAACCAGUUGCUCAUAGGUAAUUGACAAGAGAGACUACUGUUGGUUCCCAAAGACCAUACGUUGUUGGAUUUCAUUUACGUGAAACGUCCAGACUACACUGAGCCCCCAGAGACGAUAAGUAGAUGGCCUGAAUAAAGCUCUUCUGUUCAGGGGUGUUUUUAGGACCGAGCUGUGCAACCAUCACCAGGAUUUAAUUUUAGAACAUUUUUAAUGCCUCCAGAAGCAAUCCCAUAUGUAUUAACAGUUAUUUUCCACUCCCUCCAACCUAGCUGCAGACAACCAGUAUGUUUUUAGUGUUUUUAGUGUAAAAUGUGGUAUAUGUACUCUUUAUAAUUUAUAAUAAAGGUACAA